rnacentral:lncRNA from 1 species
UAGAACUGUGCACUCGACGGCACUUCACUGCUUUGUGCACAUGCGUCGCCGACAUAUAAGGACAGGGACGGCAAUAUAUGGAGUGGAGACGAAAAGAGCUCGUUUCAGCGCAAACGCACAUAAGUACUGAAGUAUAAGUAUUUCACCGCAGGCGUUAAAUAGAAAAAUAAAAAGAAGAAAGAAACAAUGGUCCCUGGAACGCCUGGCAAUGAUACCAUUACUGGAAAAAGAAACAACUGCGUUAUUUUGACGCUACUAUUGGAAAAAGUUACAUAAUUUUACGUCACUUAAAUAAUUAUUUUCGUAGGAUGAGUAGAAAAGUGAAUCCGACAACUACAAAACCACAGAAAAGAAGCAACUUGCCAAAUUGUGCCACCACCUAGGCCUCUUCAGCAAGGAGAAUGAAAGCU